rnacentral:rRNA from 1 species
AGUGAACGCUGGCGGUAGGCCUAACACAUGCAAGUCGAACGGCAGCACAGAGGAGCUUGCUCCUUGGGUGGCGAGUGGCGGACGGGUGAGGAAUACAUCGGAAUCUACUCUGUCGUGGGGGAUAACGUAGGGAAACUUACGCUAAUACCGCAUACGACCUACGGGUGAAAGCAGGGGAUCUUCGGACCUUGCGCGAUUGAAUGAGCCGAUGUCGGAUUAGCUAGUUGGCGGGGUAAAGGCCCACCAAGGCGACGAUCCGUAGCUGGUCUGAGAGGAUGAUCAGCCACACUGGAACUGAGACACGGUCCAGACUCCUACGGGAGGCAGCAGUGGGGAAUAUUGGACAAUGGGCGCAAGCCUGAUCCAGCCAUACCGCGUGGGUGAAGAAGGCCUUCGGGUUGUAAAGCCCUUUUGUUGGGAAAGAAAUCCAUCUGGUUAAUACCCGGGUGGGAUGACGGUACCCAAAGAAUAAGCACCGGCUAACCUCGUGCCAGCCGCCGCGGUA